rnacentral:rRNA from 1 species
AGAGUUUGAUCAUGGCUCAGAUUGAACGCUGGCGGCAGGCCUAACACAUGCAAGUCGAACGGUAACAGAAAGCAGCUUGCUGCUUUGCUGACGAGUGGCGGACGGGUGAGUAAUGUCUGGGAAACUGCCUGAUGGAGGGGGAUAACUACUGGAAACGGUAGCUAAUACCGCAUAACGUCGCAAGACCAAAGAGGGGGACCUUCGGGCCUCUUGCCAUCGGAUGUGCCCAGAUGGGAUUAGCUAGUAGGUGGGGUAAAGGCUCACCUAGGCGACGAUCCCUAGCUGGUCUGAGAGGAUGACCAGCCACACUGGAACUGAGACACGGUCCAGACUCCUACGGGAGGCAGCAGUGGGGAAUAUUGCACAAUGGGCGCAAGCCUGAUGCAGCCAUGCCGCGUGUAUGAAGAAGGCCUUCGGGUUGUAAAGUACUUUCAGCGGGGAGGAAGGGAGUAAAGUUAAUACCUUUGCUCAUUGACGUUACCCGCAGAAGAAGCACCGGCUAACUCCGUGCCAGCAGCCGCGGUAAUACGGAGGGUGCAAGCGUUAAUCGGAAUUACUGGGCGUAAAGCGCACGCAGGCGGUUUGUUAAGUCAGAUGUGAAAUCCCCGGGCUCAACCUGGGAACUGCAUCUGAUACUGGCAAGCUUGAGUCUCGUAGAGGGGGGUAGAAUUCCAGGUGUAGCGGUGAAAUGCGUAGAGAUCUGGAGGAAUACCGGUGGCGAAGGCGGCCCCCUGGACGAAGACUGACGCUCAUGUGCGAAAGCGUGGGGAGCAAACAGGAUUAAAUACCCCUGGUAGUCC